GCACCGUUUUCUUUGUGGAGGUAUAGCGAACGCGCAUUCCUUUCUUUCUUUUUUGGUUCGCGUCGGCCGAGUGGCGAUAUCCUAUUACAUCCGGAACGAGGACCUAUCGCUUUGCGAUCGCAUACAAGAGUGAGCCAUCUUUUGACGAUGGUAGGAUAAUUAUUGACCUGAGGAAUAAUAUGGAUUUAUGUGGUUGUGGUGGACUUUGUGUUUGUGAUUGUGAAAAUGUGAGUGUGUGUCUGUGUAUGUGUGAACCAGGGAUCCCACUUGACAAGUUGACCUUGUCUAGAGGAGCAUUAGUGGAAAAAAACAGGGUAGCCCUGAGACAAUAGGAUGCCGUCACGACCAAUGAGACUGGCCUGCAGGGGGCGCAAGGAUUCACUUCUCUCUUGGACACUGGCGGGUGUAGACACGGUGGAUUUUGUGACGAGCGGAUUUACAAUGAGGGAAUGCUGUGAACGGGAAAAAUGAUGAUUGACCAAAGGAGCAUUAGUGGAAAAGAACAGUGUAGCCCUGAGACAAUAGGAUGAUGUCUGGACCAAUGAGAACUGCCAGCAGGGGGCGCAGGAAUGCUCUUCUCACUUAGCCUCACGACCAAUGAGAACGGCCAGCAGGGGGCGCAGGAAUGCUCUUCUCUCUUAGCCUCUCGCAGGUGGCGGUAGGAGCGCGCAGAGGGCGCUACGAGCGCGCGCAUGCGUAGCACCCGUAGAGUGGCGCUUACGUCAGUCCACCUCUGGCUCUCGUUGGGAGAAGACGUGCGGUCGUUCGCUCCGUCGUCACUUGAUCCCUGGCUGUCGACGAGAGCAGUCGCAUCGGCCUGCGCUCCUACUGUGGUGAGGUGAUUUGUUGUGUAACUAAUGCUUUCGCCAACUUUGUUCCCGCUUUGUUUGCGAUUUUCGUGCCCGUGCACGUCGGGUGCUGGUUGCUGUUGUUCUGGCAUCCCCGCCAUUUUCUAUCUUCUUCUGCCUUGGGAACGGCAGUAGCGCUGGCGUGAUUCUUAAUAAUUUUGUUGUGAGAUUAGUUGAGAAAGUAACCGCUAGGGGGUGUAGCUGCGGGGCUUUAUACAGGACAAAAAAGCAUUACGAGUCAGUUUCUGCCUGCCUCUCGGAUGGAGCAGUCGCAUGGUUCUGCGCUCCUGUUGUGGUGGGAUCAUUUGUUGUGUAACUAGUUCUAUUUUCUUGUUAGCUAUUGAUGGUUUGCAUACUCUUGCUUUCCCAGCCUCUGUAUUACGAGUGUUUUUCUCCUUGCAUGUGCAGAGCUGUCCUAACUUGCCCAGACAUGCCAUGAUGACGUCACAGCUGACGUCACAGGAUGUCUGGAACUGGUGCUGCGAUGCUUUGCAACCUGCCUCCGUGCUC